AAAUCCCGCUGGGGAAUCUUAUAAAUGAAAACCCAAUUUGCAAAUUAGGGUUUAACCCAUCUCCUAGGGUUUUGUUAAUCAAGCCGUGAGAAGAUGAGCCCUACCAAAACGGAGAGAAAUUAAAAAAGAAAAAACUCAAUUAGACAAUAACUUGAAGCUGCUUCUUGUUCUGAGCAGAAUCAUCAGUUUUUGUCUGUGGGUAAGAAACUUGAAUUUUUCUCACUCUUGUUCUAUAUGUUCUUAGUUCAGCUAUUUAAAUUACAGUUUUUAUUAGCAUUUGGAAAAAAAUUACUCACAUAGAAUUUGCUCGUGUUUAUCGUUUAGUUCAUUGAAUUUCAUUGCUUGCCAUGAUAUUACCCGGAAUCCGCAAUAGGGUAUUCGAAUUAUUUAAGAUGAUUCGCCAAUUCAGUCAGAUUGUUCCCAUUUCUUCUGCUUUCAAUGAAAAAAUUGUUGUGAUGCAACUCCCAUAUUUCAGUUCAGUUAAAUUUCGAACCUUUUGUAGUUCCGGAGUGACACACUUUACAAAAGUCAGUCUCAAUGAGUCAACUCAGUUGCCCGUUUCUCCUAUUUCCAACCGAAGUUCUCGGCUGGCUAGAACUGAGGCUCAAGAUGUGUUGUUUGAUUACUUGCAGAAUACUAGGAGCUUAAGCCCUAUGGACGCUGAGCAUAUCAGCAAGAAUUCACCAUAUUUUAUUCAGACUUUGUUAUCCAAGAUUGAUGCCGAGAAGGAUGUGACUCGGUCUUUAGCCAGGUUCCUCAGAUACAAUCCAAUUAAUGAGUUUGAACCCUUUUUAGAGAGCUUGGGUUUGAGUCCAUUAGAGAUCUCCUCGAUUCUUCCACAGCAGUUAAUGUAUUUGAGUGAUGAUGAUUUAAUGCUUGAGAACUAUCAUGUGUUGUGGGGCUAUGGAAUUCCUCGUAAUAAGAUGGGAAAGAUGUAUAAGGAAGCAAGAGGGAUAUUCAGUUAUGAUUGUGGAAUCUUAACUUUGAAACUUCAGGCUUAUGAAAAUUUGGGUCUAAGUAGAAGCACAGUUGUUAAGCUUGUCAGUUGUUGCCCAACACUGUUGAUUGGUGAUGUUGAUGGUGAAUUCGUUAAGGUUCUUGAAAAAUUAAAAGGUCUAGGAUUCAAGAAUGAUUGGAUUGGAGGAUACUUAUAUGGUAAGGGCACAUACAACUGGAAUCGAACGGUUGACACAAUGGAAUUUCUUGAGAAAGUGGGUUAUAGCGAGGUGCGGCUUUAUAACCUAUUCAAAACAAAUCCAGGGAUAGUCUUUGAAGGUUCUGGGCGGAAGGUUUAUGUGUUGUUUGGCCGGUUACUCAAAUUGGGUUUGAAGAUGAAUCAAAUCUAUCAUAUGUUUAUGCAAAACCCACAACUAUUGUCUGGUAAAUGUACAAAGAAUCUCUUGCAGGCUGUGGGAUUCAUGGUUGAGAUUGGAAUGAGAAUUGAAGACAUUGCAAAUAUAGUGUCCAAGCAUGCAGAACUUAUGGGUUCAUGUUCUCUUAAAGCACCUAGAAGUGUUUGCAGAAGUUUAAAAGUUGAGAAAGAUGAUUUAUGUCAAAUUAUAAAAGAUGAGCCAACGAAAUUAUUCCAUUUGGCCUCUAAAACGAAAAUUAAAAUUUAUGAGCAGGAAGAACUCCAAAACCCUACUAAACAUCGGAAGAAAACAGCAUUCUUGGUGGGAUUGGGGUAUGUGGAAAACUCAGAAGAGAUGACAAAAGCUUUGAAACAGUUUCGAGGAAGAGGGGACCAACUACAGGAGAGAUUUGACUGCCUGUUGGAAGCCGGAUUGGACAUCAAUAUUCUCAGAAGGAUAAUUAAACAUGCGCCAAUGGUGCUUAACCAGAGCAAGGAAGUGAUUGAAAAGAAGAUGGAUUUCUUAAAGAACUAUUUAGGGUAUCCAAUUGAGUCUGUAGUGGCAUUUCCAUCAUAUUUAUGUUAUGAUUUGGAGAGGAUUAAUCAUAGAUUUACAAUGUAUAUGUGGCUGAGGGAGAGGGGUGCAGCUAAGCCCACAUUAUCUUUAAGCACUAUCCUUGCAUGUUCUGAUGCAAGAUUUGAAAAAUAUUUUGUAGAUGUCCAUCCUGAAGGUCCAGCCAUCUGGGAAAAUAUAAAGAAAUCAUCAAAUUCAAGCUGAGGCUUAAUAUGUCCUUGAAAAAAUGGAGGAAAACUGAAUACAUUCGUAACAAGUUCUUGUAUCAGGAUGGUGGUAAUAGCAGCAUGCAACAGAAUUUUAGAAAUUUCUUAGUGAAAAGUGAAGAUUUAGAGAUAGAAGAGAGAAGGGUUCAACUUCAUCAAAUUCAAGUUCGGUAUUUAUUGUCUGUUGUGGGCAUGGGCUCACAAUGCCUAACUAACUUGGGCUUGAAUCUAUAUUUGGCUUGAGCUAGUCGAAUUCCGGCUAAAGAUUUAGCUCAACAGCUUGACUUGAGUUCAAGAACUCAUUAGAUUUGUUGUAUCAGAGCUCUUUUUCUCUAACGUCUUUUCUAACGAUUUUUUUAUCUCUGUUGAUUGAUCGUCUUCUUUUUCAGUGUCAUUGUUCACCAGCUAAUUAAGUUUAGCUUAAACUUAAGUUGGUUGUUUUGAAUAUGUGCUGAGUUUUAGCUAAUCCUUGCUUGAGAUCAA